AACAGAAGAAGGCAAUGGAAAUUCAGUAAAAGAAUUCAAAAUAGUAACCAAACAAAUGCCAUGGAGGAACAAUGAUAAUAUCACAGACUGUGGAGUGUAUGCCCUGAAACACAUGGAAUCAUACGAAGGGCAAGAUGACUGGAAAAUAGGAGUAAACAACAAACCUUUGCAGCGUGAUGAAAUUGCAAAACUGAGGAUGGAAUUCUGUGGGAAAAUCGUGCUGAGCGAAGAAAACACGUGCAGGGAAGAGGUAGUAGAUGCCGCAAAAGAGAUGAACGCUUAAAUUGCAAACUAAUAUGACAACUUAGUUUGACCAUGAUUGUAUAUCAUAUGCUUAAUGUCAUUAUGAAACGAGAAUAUUGUAUGAAUGUUAUUAGGCAGGAGAGCAGGGAGGUAUGUACAGGCAGGAGGGGGGCAAGUGUGCAGGGAGGUAUGUGCAGGCAGGAGGGCAAUUGUGUGCCGGCAAGAUGGAGUCUAUAAUUGUAAUAAUAACUAUAUUUCAUAACAUAGACUUAACUAUGUUAUGUCCGGUUCAGGGACAAUGAUCUCUCAAUGUCCGGUUCUUAUCACUACAAUAAGUACAAUGAAGUUAUCACUAAAAAGGCUAUUUUUUUCA